AAAGGAUUUAAGUUAAUUUAAACUAGUAACCUUCAAAGUUGCCAUUAAAGACUUGCCCCUUUAAGCCUU
rnacentral:tRNA from 1 species